CGUUCCCAUUCCGAACACGGAAGUUAAGCCCGCCAGCGCCGAUGAUACUGCCCUGGAGACGGGGUGGGAAAGUAGGGCGGUGCCAGGC
rnacentral:rRNA from 1 species